rnacentral:rRNA from 1 species
AUACCCUGGUAGUCCACGCUGUAAACGAUGUCGAUUUAGAGGUUGUGGUCUUGAACCGUGGCUUCUGGAGCUAACGCGUUAAAUCGACCGCCUGGGGAGUACGGCCGCAAGGUUAAAACUCAAAUGAAUUGACGGGGGCCCGCACAAGCGGUGGAGCAUGUGGUUUAAUUCGAUGCAACGCGAAGAACCUUACCUACUCUUGACAUCCAGCGAAUCCUUUAGAGAUAGAGGAGUGCCUUCGGGAACGCUGAGACAGGUGCUGCAUGGCUGUCGUCAGCUCGUGUUGUGAAAUGUUGGGUUAAGUCCCGCAACGAGCGCAACCCUUAUCCUUUGUUGCCAGCACGUAAUGGUGGGAACUCAAAGGAGACUGCCGGUGAUAAACCGGAGGAAGGUGGGGAUGACGUCAAGUCAUCAUGGCCCUUACGAGUAGGGCUACACACGUGCUACAAUGGCGGAUACAAAGAGAAGCGACCUCGCGAGAGCAAGCGGAACUCAUAAAGUCUGUCGUAGUCCGGAUU